GACGAACGCUGGCGGCGUGCUUAACACAUGCAAGUCGAACGGAAAGGCCCUGCUUUUGUGGGGUGCUCGAGUGGCGAACGGGUGAGUAACACGUGAGUAACCUGCCCUUGACUUUGGGAUAACUUCAGGAAACUGGGGCUAAUACCGGAUAGGAGCUCCUGCUGCAUGGUGGGGGUUGGAAAGUUUCGGCGGUUGGAUGGACUCGCGGCUUAUCAGCUUGUUGGUGGGGUAGUGGCUUACCAAGGCUUUGACGGGUAGCCGGCCUGAGAGGGUGACCGGCCACAUUGGGACUGAGAUACGGCCCAGACUCCUACGGGAGGCAGCAGUGGGGAAUAUUGCACAAUGGGCGGAAGCCUGAUGCAGCAACGCCGCGUGCGGGAUGACGGCCUUCGGGUUGUAAACCGCUUUCGCCUGUGACGAAGCGUGAGUGACGGUAAUGGGCAAAGAAGCACCGGCUAACUACGUG
rnacentral:rRNA from 1 species